GAAGCGGCAAGGUGCGGAGAGACAUGGCUGGGAGGACGGCUGACACCGGAGAGCGCUGGAGGCUGUUCAGAGUUCACGGAACAGAUCGGUUAGUGCUGAUGUACAAGCUGAUGUAUGUCAAAAAGGAAUCGCUCAUAUCGGUCACUAGUCGCAGAUUCUGGACGUGCUUGGAACCUGGUGUAGGUGCAUGAAGAGACGUAGGUAAUUGGAACCACCCUUUUUGGGGGUUUCUGAGAGCACAGUGUCUGUACGCCUGAUGAAGAGACUGGUGAUGUCUCGAAAGCUC